rnacentral:rRNA from 1 species
AACGAACGCUGGCGGCAGGCUUAACACAUGCAAGUCGAGCGCCCCGCAAGGGGAGCGGCAGACGGGUGAGUAACGCGUGGGAACGUACCCUUUGCUACGGAAUAGCUCCGGGAAACUGGAAUUAAUACCGUAUGUGCCCUACGGGGGAAAGAUUUAUCGGCAAAGGAUCGGCCCGCGUUGGAUUAGCUAGUUGGUGGGGUAAUGGCCUACCAAGGCGACGAUCCAUAGCUGGUCUGAGAGGAUGAUCAGCCACAUUGGGACUGAGACACGGCCCAAACUCCUACGGGAGGCAGCAGUGGGGAAUAUUGGACAAUGGGCGCAAGCCUGAUCCAGCCAUGCCGCGUGAGUGAUGAAGGCCUUAGGGUUGUAAAGCUCUUUCACCGGAGAGGAUAAUGACGGUAUCCGGAGAAGAAGCCCCGGCUAACUUCGUGCCAGCCGCCGCAGUAAUAC